rnacentral:tRNA from 1 species
UUUUUAAUUGACAUAGACCAAGUCAUCUAGUAAAAUG